GAUGAACGCUGGCGGCGUGCCUAAUACAUGCAAGUCGAGCGAACAGAUGAGGAGCUUGCUCCUUUGAAGUUAGCGGCGGACGGGUGAGUAACACGUGGGUAACCUACCUAUAAGACUGGGAUAACUUCGGGAAACCGGAGCUAAUACCGGAUAACAUUUAGAACCGCAUGGUUCUAAAGUGAAAGAUGGUUUUGCUAUCACUUAUAGAUGGACCCGCGCCGUAUUAGCUAGUUGGUAAGGUAACGGCUUACCAAGGCGACGAUACGUAGCCGACCUGAGAGGGUGAUCGGCCACACUGGAACUGAGACACGGUCCAGACUCCUACGGGAGGCAGCAGUAGGGAAUCUUCCGCAAUGGGCGAAAGCCUGACGGAGCAACGCCGCGUGAGUGAUGAAGGGUUUCGGAUCGUAAAACUCUGUUAUUAGGGAAGAACAAAUGUGUAAGUAACUGUGCACAUCUUGACGGUACCUAAUCAGAAAGCCACGGCUAACUACGUG
rnacentral:rRNA from 1 species